rnacentral:rRNA from 1 species
GAUGAACGCUGGCGGCGUGCCUAAUACAUGCAAGUCGAACGCGAAGCCCUUGGGAAACUGAGGGUGGAGAGUGGCGGACGGGUGAGUAACACAUGGCUGACCUGCCCUUCAGAGGGGGACAACUGCUGGAAACGGCAGCUAAUACCCCAUACGCUCAUCGGGACUAGAAGCCGGUGAGGAAAGGUUGAGGCGCUGAAGGAGGGGGCUGUGGCCCAUCAGCUAGUUGGUAGGGUAACGGCCUACCAAGGCGAGGACGGGUAGGGGGCCUGAGAGGGUGGUCCCCCACACGGGCACUGAGAGACGGGCCCGACUCCUACGGGAGGCAGCAGUAAGGGAUAUUGCGCAAUGGGCGAGAGCCUGACGCAGCAACGCCGCGUGCGGGAUGACGGCCUUCGGGUUGUAAACCGCUUUUCAGGGGGAAGAGGAAGGACGGUACCCCUGGAAUAAGUCUCGGCUAACUACGUGCCAGCAGCCGCGGUAAAACGUAGGAGGCGAGCGUUAUCCGGAUUUACUGGGUGUAAAGCGCGUGCAGGCGGUCUGGGAAGUGGUGCGUGAAAGCGCCCGGCUCAACCGGGCGAGGCCGUGCCAAACUGCCAGGCUGGAGGUAGGUAGAGGCGUGUGGAAUUCCGGGUGUAGUGGUGAAAUGCGUAGAGAUCCGGAGGAACACCAGUGGCGAAGGCGACACGCUGGGCCUGACCUGACGCUCAGACGCGAAAGCAUGGGGAGCGAACGGGAUUAGAAACCCCGGUAGUCCAUGCUGUAAACGAUGUCGACUAGGUGUGGGGGUGUAACAGCCUCCGUGCCGCAGCUAACGUGAUAAGUCGACCACCUGGGGACUACGGCCGCAAGGUUAA